GAGGGCGCUGAGGACGGGGCGCUGGAGAAGCUGCGGGGCUGGAGCCGAUCCAUCGAGGACCUGCACCCCCCCGGGGCCCCCCCGGCUCCGUUCGGCAGCGGCUGGGCACGUUCGGCCCGACACGGAGCCCUGCGGUGCGUGCCCACCCUGCGCCGUCCUUGGUCACGCGUGCCCUGGGUGCCAUGUGCUGUGCGUGCCACGUGUCACUCUGUCCUGUGUGUGCCAUCCUGUGCCACGUGUGCCAUGCCAUGCACGGUCCUGCGCCAUGUGUGCCAUGUGCUCUGUGUGCGACGUGUCACUCUGUGCCAUGUUCUCUGUGCCAUGUGCCAUCCUGUGCCAUCCUGUGCCAUGCCAUGCACUGUCCUGUGCCGUGUGUGCCAUCCUGUGCCACGUGUGCCACGCUGUGCAUCAUCCUGUGCCACGUGUGCCAUGCCAUGCACUGCCCUGUGCCGUGUGUGCCAUGCUGUGUGCUGUCCCGUGUGCCAUUCUGUGCCAUGCGUGCCAUGCCAUGCACUGUCCUGUGCCGUGUGCGCCAUGUGCUCUGUGUGCCAUGUGUCACUCUGUGCCAUGUGCUCUGUGUGCCAUGCACUGUCCUGUGCCAUGUGUGCCAUGUGUUCUGUGUGCCGUGUGUCACUCUGUGCUGUGCGCUCUGUGCCAUGUGUGCCAUCCUGUGCCAUCCUGUGCCAUGCCAUGCCCUGUUCUGUGCCACGUGUGCCAUCCUGUGCCAUGUGUGCCAUGCCAUGCACUGUCCUGUGCCAUGUGUGCCAUCCUGUGCCACAUGUGCCAUGCCAUGCACUGUCCUGUGCCGUGUGUGCCACGUGUGCCAUCCUGUGCCAUGCGUGCCAUGCCAUGCCCUGUUCUGUGCCAUGUGUGCCAUCCUGUGCCAUGCGUGCCAUGUGCUCUGUGUGCCAUGUGUCACUCUGUGCCGUGUUCUCUGUGCCAUGUAUGCCAUGCCAUGCCCUGUUCUGUGCCAUGUGUGCCAUGCCAUGCCCUGUUCUGUGCCAUGUGUGCCAUCCUGUGCCACCUUUGUGGUGCCACACGCUGUCCUGUGUGUGCCACGCCGUGUGCUGCUGUGCCCCGUGUUGCAUGCCAUGCCGUGCCGUGCCGUGCCAUGCUGUGCCACGCUGUGCCGUGCUAUACUGUGCUGUGCCAUGCUGUGCCAUGCCAUGCUGUGCCGUGCUGUGCUGUGCCAUGCUGUGCUGUGCUAUUCCAUGCCAUGCCAUGCUGUGCCAUGCCGUGCUGUGCCAUGCCAUGCCAUGCCAUGCCAUGCCGUGCCAUGCUGUGCUGUGCUAUGCCAUGCCAUGCCAUGCCGUGCCAUACUGUUGCAUGCCAUGCCGUGCUGUGCCAUGCCAUGCCAUGCCAUGCUGUGCUAUUCGAUGCUGUGCCAUGCCAUGCCAUGCUGUGCCGUGCCAUGCGGUGCUAUGCCAUGCCAUGCUGUGCCAUGCCAUACUGUUGCAUGCCAUGCCGUGCUGUGCCAUGCCGUGCCAUGCCGUGCCAUGCCAUGCCGUGCCAUGCUAUGCCGUGCCAUGCUGUGCUAUGCUAUGCCAUCCCAUGCCGUGCCAUGGCCAUGCUGUGCCAUGCCAUGCCGUGCCACACCGUGCCAUGCUGUUCCAUGCUGUUGCAUGCCGUUGCAUGCCAUGCCGUGCCAUGCCGUGCCAUGCCGUGCCAUGCUGUGCCAUGCCAUGCCAUUGCAUGCCAUGCCGUGCCAUGCCGUGCCAUGCUGUGUCAUGCCAUGCCAUUGCAUGCCAUGCUGUGCCGUGCCAUGCUGUGCCGUGCCCCCCACCCCCGUCCCCGCUGUCCCCGCUCUGACGCCGCUCUCUGCCCGCAGUGCUGCGCUGUCUCGUCCCCGCGCUCUGUUUCUGUUUCUGCGCCGCUCCCCG
rnacentral:lncRNA from 1 species